rnacentral:rRNA from 1 species
AGCAAGCACCGGCUAACUACGUGCCAGCAGCCGCGGUAAUACGUAGGGUGCGAGCGUUAAUCGGAAUUACUGGGCGUAAAGCGUGCGCAGGUGGUUUUGUAAGUCAGAUGUGAAAUCCCCGGGCUUAACCUGGGAACUGCGUUUGAAACUGCAAGGCUAGAGUGUGGCAGAGGGGGGUGGAAUUCCGCGUGUAGCAGUGAAAUGCGUAGAGAUGUGGAGGAACACCGAUGGCGAAGGCAGCCCCCUGGGUCAACACUGACGCUCAGGCACGAAAGCAUGGGGAGCAAACAGGAUUAGAUACCCUGGUAGUCCAUGCCCUAAACGAUGUCAACUAGUUGUCGGGUCUUAACGGGCUUGGUAACGUAGCUAACGCGUGAAGUUGACCGCCUGGGGAGUACGAUCGCAAGAUUAAAACUCAAAGGAAUUGACGGGGACCCGCACAAGCGGUGGAUUAUGUGGAUUAAUUCGAUGCAACGCGAAAAACCUUACCUACCCUUGACAUGUAUUGAAACCCGCAGAGAUGUGGGUGUGCCCGAAAGGGGACGAUAACACAGGUGCUGCAUGGCUGUCGUCAGCUCGUGUCGUGAGAUGUUGGGUUAAGUCCCGCAACGAGCGCAACCCUUGUCAUUAAUUGCCAUCAUUUAGUUGGGCACUUUAAUGAGACUGCCGGUGACAAACCGGAGGAAGGUGGGGAUGACGUCAAGUCCUCAUGGCCCUUAUGGGUAGGGCUUCACACGUAAUACAAUGGCGCGUACAGAGGGUUGCCAACCCGCGAGGGGGAGCUAAUCUCAGAAAGCGCGUCGUAGUCCGGAUCGGAGUCUGCAACUCGACUCCGUGAAGUCGGAAUCGCUAGUAAUCGCGGAUCAGCAU